rnacentral:rRNA from 1 species
AUUGAACACUGGCGGCAGGCCUAACACAUGCAAGUCGAGCGAGCGGCGGACGGGUGAGUAAUGUAUGGGGACUGCCCGAUAGAGGGGGAUAACUACUGGAAACGGUGGCUAAUACCGCAUACUAUCGGAUAACCCAUAUGGGAUUAGCUAGUAGGCGGGGUAAAGGCUCACCUAGGCGACUAUCUCUAGCUGGUCUGAGAGGAUGAUCGGCAACAAUGGGACUGAGAAAAGGCCCAAACUCCGACGGAGGCAGCAGUGGGGAAUAUUGAACAAUGGGCGCAAGCCUAAUGCAGCCAUGCAGCGUGUAUGAAGAAGGCCGUAGGGUUGUAAAGAACUUUCAGCGGGGAGGCGUUACCCGCAGAAGAAGCACCGGCUAACUCCGUGCCAGCAGCCGCGGUAAUAC